GUCCUGGCAGUAAACGGUGCACGCUUGGUGUAGGAGGUUUUGACCCCUCCUGUGCCGGAGCUAACGCGUUAAGCGUGCCGCCUGGGAAGUACGGUCGCAAGAUUAAAACUCAAAGAAAUUGACGGGGACCCGCACAAGCGGUGGAGUAUGUGGCUUAAUUCGAUGCAACGCGAAGAACCUUACCUGGGCUUGACAUGGAUUGUGUCGGCGGUGAAAGCCGCCUACUAACAGCAAUGUUAGGCUUUUCACAGGUGCUGCAUGGCUGUCGU
rnacentral:rRNA from 1 species